UUAAAUUGAAGAGUUUGAUCAUGGCUCAGAUUGAACGCUGGCGGCAGGCCUAACACAUGCAAGUCGAACGGUAACAGGAAGCAGCUUGCUGCUUUGCUGACGAGUGGCGGACGGGUGAGUAAUGUCUGGGAAACUGCCUGGUGGAGGGGGAUAACUACUGGAAACGGUAGCUAAUACCGCAUAACGUCGCAAGACCAAAGAGGGGGACCUUCGGGCCUCUUGCCAUCGGAUGUGCCCAGAUGGGAUUAGCUAGUAGGUGGGGUA
rnacentral:rRNA from 1 species